rnacentral:rRNA from 1 species
CCCUAUGGGGUGCAGCAGGCCAGUGAAUUGGUUUACUUUUAAAACAGCUAAUUUUUGAAAAUAUGCAGUGUUUGAAGUUUGAAUUUUUCCUGAGAACCGUCAGGCGGUCUGUAGCUUUCGCUGUCCUGUUGAUUUGGACCGCCGUUUCUGCAAUUGCUCAGGCUCCUGAUCAGCAGGGUUUUGAGAUCAUGAAAAACCUGGAUAUUUUUUCCAACACGAUCAAGGAACUCGAUCUGGAUUAUGUGGAUAAAAUCAAUCCGGGCGAACUAACCCAGACCGGGAUUGAGGCGAUGCUCGAAUCGCUGGAUCCUUAUACCAAUUUCAUUCCGGAAUCGCAGGUCGAAGAUUAUAAGUUCAUUACUACCGGGCAAUACGGUGGAAUUGGCGGGGGGGC